rnacentral:rRNA from 1 species
GUUGUAUGGUUAAGUGACUAAGCGUACACGGUGGAUGCCUUGGCAGUCAGAGGCGAUGAAAGACGUAGUAACUUGCGAUAAGCCCAGAUUAGGUAGUAACAACCAUUUGAGUCUGGGAUUUCUGAAUGGGGAAACCCACGUGCAUAAGCACGUAUCCUUACCUGAAUACAUAGGGUAAGGAGGCGAACCGGGGGAACUGAAACAUCUAAGUACCCCGAGGAAAAGAAAUCAACCGAGAUUCCGAAAGUAGCGGCGAGCGAAAUUGGACUAGCCCUUAAGCUUUACACGCGUUAGACGAACGGUCUGGAAAGUCCGACGAUACAGGGUGAUAGUCCCGUAGUUGACGACGUGUGUUCAGUGAAAUCGAGUAGGGCGGGACACGUGAUAUCCUGUCUGAAUAUGGGGGGACCAUCCUCCAAGGCUAAAUACUACUGACUGACCGAUAGUGAACCAGUACCGUGAGGGAAAGGCGAAAAGAACCCCUGUGAGGGGAGUGAAAUAGAACCUGAAACCGUGUACGUACAAGCAGUAGGAGCAGGCUUUGUCCUGUGACUGCGUACCUUUUGUAUAAUGGGUCAGCGACUUAUAUUCAGUGGCAAGGUUAACCAUCUAGGGGAGCCGUAGGGAAACCGAGUCUUAACUGGGCGUUCAGUCUCUGGAUAUAGACCCGAAACCAGGUGAUCUAGCCAUGGGCAGGUUGAAGGUUGAGUAACAUCAACUGGAGGACCGAACCGACUAAUGUUGAAAAAUUAGCGGAUGACUUGUGGCUAGGGGUGAAAGGCCAAUCAAACCUGGAGAUAGCUGGUUCUCCCCGAAAGCUAUUUAGGUAGCGCCUCGGACGAAUACUACUGGGGGUAGAGCACUGUUAAGGCUAGGGGGUCAUCCCGACUUACCAACCCUUUGCAAACUCCGAAUACCAGUAAGUACUAUCCGGGAGACACACGGCGGGUGCUAACGUCCGUCGUGGAGAGGGAAACAACCCAGACCGCCAGCUAAGGUCCCAAAUUACUACUAAGUGGGAAACGAUGUGGGAAGGCUCAGACAGCCAGGAUGUUGGCUUAGAAGCAGCCAUCAUUUAAAGAAAGCGUAAUAGCUCACUGGUCGAGUCGGCCUGCGCGGAAGAUGUAACGGGGCUAAGUAGUAAACCGAAGCUGCGGCAAUGUGCUUUUGCACAUUGGGUAGGGGAGCGUUCUGUAAGCGGUUGAAGGUGUGUGGUAACGCAUGCUGGACGUAUCAGAAGUGCGAAUGCUGACAUGAGUAACGAUAAAGGGGGUGAAAAACCUCCUCGCCGGAAGACCAAGGGUUCCUGUCCAACGUUAAUCGGGGCAGGGUAAGUCGACCCCUAAGGCGAGGCCGAAAGGCGUAGUCGAUGGGAAACGGGUUAAUAUUCCCGUACUUCUUACAAUUGCGAUGGGGGGACGGAGAAGGCUAGGUGGGCCUGGCGACGGUUGUCCAGGUUCAAGUGCGUAGGCUGAAGA